AUUGAACGCUGGCGGCAGGCUUAACACAUGCAAGUCGAGCGGGGUGAUGGUGCUUGCACUAUCACUUAGCGGCGGACGGGUGAGUAAUGCUUAGGAAUCUGCCUAUUAGUGGGGGACAACAUCUCGAAAGGGAUGCUAAUACCGCAUACGUCCUACGGGAGAAAGCAGGGGAUCACUUGUGACCUUGCGCUAAUAGAUGAGCCUAAGUCGGAUUAGCUAGUUGGUGGGGUAAAGGCCUACCAAGGCGACGAUCUGUAGCGGGUCUGAGAGGAUGAUCCGCCACAUUGGGACUGAGACACGGCCCAGACUCCUACGGGAGGCAGCAGUGGGGGAUAUUGGACAAUGGGGGGAAGCCUGAUCCAGCCAUGCCGCGUGUGUGAAGAAGGCCUUAUGGUUGUAAAGCACUUUAAGCGAGGAGGAGGCUCUUUUGGUUAAUACCCAAGAUGAGUGGACGUUACUCGCAGAAUAAGCACCGGCUAACUCUGUGCCAGCAGCCGCCGCGG
rnacentral:rRNA from 1 species